UGCCCAGCAACUCCUAUCCCUACCUUCUCGUGGUACUGGCCGGGGUACGGGUAACCUUGGGGAAGAUCGGGUAACUAACCCCCGGUGGGAACUUUGGUCGUAUGCUGACAGGGAAGG
rfam:Aedes aegypti strain Liverpool supercont1.879 genomic scaffold, whole genome shotgun sequence.